rnacentral:lncRNA from 1 species
CUGGUAAAAAGGUCAUAGCUUGAAAGGGCUGACUGACUCAAAACAUAAACAUUUCCCUUUUGGUUUCAACUUCUUCAGUUAACUGCUCUGUUCUAAGGGUUUCUCUGCCAUCCAGAAUGAAUGGUGCUCUCCCAGGCGUCUGGGUUUAGGGACGCGUGUGCACAGCACCGAGCAGCGUGAGCCGGUGCUCUCCCAGGCAUCUGGGAUUAGGGACGCGUGUGCACAGCACCGAGCAGCGUGAGCCUGUGUUCUCCCAGGCGUCUGGGUUUAGGGACGCGUGUGCACAGCACCGAGCAGCGUGAGCCUGUGUUCUCCCAGGCGUCUGGGUUUAGGGACGCGUGUGCACAGCACCGAGCAGCGUGAGCCUGUGUUCUCCCGGGCGUCUGGGUUUAGGGACGCGUGUGCACAGCACCGAGCAGCGUGAGCCUGUGUUCUCCCAGGCGUCUGGGUUUAGGGACGCGUGUGCACAGCACAGAGCAGCCCUGAGCUCGUGCUCUCCCAGGCGUCUGGGUUUAGGGACGCGUGUGCAAAGCACAAAGUGGCAUUCCCCGCUUGCUCUACACGGAAACAGGCACUUCCUCCUCUUCUCUAGGGGGUUACCGAAACCCCUGUGCCAAGCACUCAGACUUCUAUUUCUUACCAAGCAGGCGCUCCUCCUUCCUCUCCAUGUUCCCAUCUGGCUAGUCCAGAUUUUCGGUUCACAUUCGAACGCCUCAAAAGAUGAUCUCACUGUCUCUCCUGCCUCACCACUCAUCCGUAACCAAACCACUCCAAUCAGCCUCCGCUCCUCCAAUCUCCUGGAAUUGUUCUCAACAAGGUGAGCAGUGACCAAGGUUCAGGCCCAGUGGGUACUUACCGGUCUUUUCUUGCAUACCGCUCUGCUGCACGUGGUCAUCCCCGCAUGCCAGCGCUCUCUGCUCUACCAUUCCUCUAACGCCCCGCUGCCCGCCUCCCCCCCACCCCCGUGUUCCUCGACACUAUGAUCUCUGUGUUCACUGUCUUUCUGCUGGUCCUUCAAUGAAGGUGUUAUUCCCCUUGGCUUACUGUCCUUAUCACACUAUAUGUGUAUCUCUCAACUGAACCUCAUUCUUAUCUAUUUACAAAGACAUAUGUCUUAUGCUUCCCAAAUCUUCAAUGCCAAACUCUCUUACAAGCUUCACACUUCCAGAUCUGUCUGGAAACAGAUCUCAUACACAGUCCUCACAAAGCUGACUUCAUCACCUCCUCCCCUUGUCUGUUAACCUACCUUAGAGACCCGAACUAGAGAAAUAGUAACCACACUAGGGCCUCCUCCUUGUAUCUCAUGCUGUAAUAAUGAUGAGGGCCUAGCAAUUUCACUUCCUGAACAUGACCUGCCAUCUCUCUCUUCAUCUCCACCUCCAGUUCUGCUGUCCCAGGUAAUUCAUUACAGCUCCCCGUGUAUCUGGGCAAGGCUCCUCACUGAAUUCUCUGGCCUUUUUAGGGCCACCCAUCUGUGGCUCCCAAACACCCCAGGGAAUUUCUAUGCUCUCUCUUCACAAACAGUCCCGCUCCUUCCCUUGUUCUUACCUCUGACUCAUUAAAUCCUACCCACCCUUUAUCGAUCUAGUCCAGAAGUCACUUCCUCCUUGGAGUCUCUGAGACAUCUUCUAUGCCCAGACGGGGACCAUCCCUCGUCCCUGCAUCCCGCCGUGCCCUGUGCGUCUCCUAUGCAGUUCUCGCCCGCUGUACUUACUUUCUUAGGACUCUGAGCUCUCUGAAGGACCUCCUUGCCAUAUCUUCUCUGUACCCCUCCUCACAAGUCUGGCACAUCACAGGAAUUCAAAUUUCUACUGAAUAAAUGAGUUUGCUGAUUAAAUAUCAGAACAUGAUAUACUGAUUCUUUAUCAACUGGGGCUGCUCAAUUAAUGAAUGAGUGGAAGUGUCUUUAUAGGGAAAUAUGCUGAUUCCAUUUUAGAACACAAUGCUUAUUUGCAAGGACACAAUUAUUAACUUACUGUGUAAUAGGCCAAGAUUCUUACUCAACAUACGUCCUUUGUAGGCAAAAGCAAACCACAAUAAGCCUACCCUGACCUGAGACGCUUGUUGUUAAGAACAACAGAUAACCUGAGAACUGUGUUUUGCCAACAGUCAGUUUCCACCCUGAAGGAAUGGACUUCACAAGGCCUUUGCUUUGUGAGGCCCUGUUGCCUAUGUGCUGUGUGAUUACAAACAUUCCACAGUCGGUUAUUUAGAAAGAUACUGAAAUUGCGGAACUCUGUGCUGACACACUGAUUACAGCAACAACCACAGAUUGGACCUACUUCAUAUGAACACUUUAACCACCAGCUUAGGGACCAUCCCUGAGUUACAGCAGAGGGAGCCCUGAACUGGAAGCCCCAGCUCUCUCACCACCUGGCCAAGGGGCUGAAAGCAGGUGAUGCCACUUCUGUGGGUUGUGGUGAUCUCAUCUGUGCAAUGAAGAACUGGAUUUGGUUCAGCUCAGUCACCAACAGCUGACAACUACUGAACCAAGUGCAAAUGUGGAAGUCCUAUCCUCAAGAAAUUAAAGUAUAAUGGAAAUAAAGACAGAUGGCACCAAACUAUCAUCUACUGAUGUGCUCUGACGGCCCUUCACGGGUAAAGCUGCUAUGACAUGCUGCAACAAGGACAGGUGAAUACUCCUUAGGAAUGUAAAGUGACAUCACCCGUUCAUCUAACAGAUGCCAUCCUGGGUCAGACACCCGACCAACAAUGCCCUAUUCAUGGCACUAACACUGAGUGAAGGGAAGAAGAAAGGUGAUUAUUUCCCAUACUGAAAACUGAAAAGUUUGCUCUUGAAAAUAACCUGGCCUAAAUGACAAGACGUGUUCAUUCUUAGAAGUCAGGGUGUGCUCUGAACGAGUGUUACGUGUGGGUAAGUUUUUCAGUGAAAGAAAGCCUCAACGAGUCAAUAAUAAACAUUAAACAAUUCUGUUCCAAGCAGGAACUUGCAAACUCCUGGUGCAAGAGCAUCAAGAAGCAAUGAGAUCUCGUCUCGGGCAGAGUAAAUGGCUGAAAUGGAACUUGCUGGGUCCACACCAGUUCACCCUGUUCUUCCUAAAUACACCGACUUCUGUCAGGUUCAUUCAAGCUAAAAGUCAACCAAACUUUCCAUGCUCCCAUUUCACAAUUUACGUAUAAUUUACCUCUUUUAUUUCUCUACCUCAAAGAAUUACACAUAUGAUCAAAUCCAAAAUGGGCAAAACAACCAAUGGAGGAUUUGAGGGGCGAGGAGCCAGUAGGACACAACCUGAGACGUGCUCUUGCCAAGUCAGAGAACUUACUGCGCGGAGUGGUGUCAGGACCAGAGGGGAAGUUUAACCCAAGAUGCUUUUUAUAGACAUUCAGUUUCCUCAACAAGGCUUUCUUUUGCUGCUACUCUAAGCAGAAGUGAGGGUAAAAAAUCCAGGUAGAACUGAGGAAUGAUCUGGCAUGCCAGCAGCACCGUGUAAACAAUCCAGGUAGAACUGAGGAAUGAUCUGGCAUGCCAGCAGCACCAUGUUGGUGCUGGGGGCUCUGGGAUGCUGGGUUUGCAUAUUCUGUGAUUUGGUACCUGGGCAUUUAUAUCCGGCAUCAACAAGAACACCUAUGCUCUUUUCCUGUGCUUCUGGAGGUCUGGGAGACAGAAGAUACUAUUUUAAAAGUGUGUUCAUUGCAAAAUUCUUAUUUCCCAGAUAAUAUACUGUAAAAGUGCUUCUCAGGCCUGUUUGCCUUGUGCUUUUACUUUUCUAAUUAUAACGUAAGCUUUAUAAAGUAAAUUACACCUCUUCUCGGCAAAUUUCUGUUAGGAGGUCCAUACCAAAAACACUGUGCGGUAACCUUGGGACUUGUGAAAAGCUUGGUAACAAAGACCAAUUUUCAAAUUACUAAUCAAACAGAAAAAACAACUAAUUUAAGCUAACUGGAGUUACAUUGGGAGACAGAACAUUUUCACAGCCUGCAGGAGUAAAAUCUGAGGAUCUGAGGUUAUCUUUUCAGCAACAGAGAAAGUCACCUGGUGACUCUCCUUCCCUAAGGAACUCUGGAAUUUAGGGAACAUUCUGGGAGCCCAAGUCAGCGUGACAGAGGGUUGGCCCCAGGUCUAAGGCUCACAUCACCACUUCAAUAUGAUUGAAAGGUAUGGCCUUUGGCUUGUCCAACCCAAUGAAUAAAAUUCGUAAAUAAAAGUAGCCUGUAUUUUGGAAAUAGGGUUUAAGGUGCUCUGGAAUAAAAGACAAGGAAAGCUGAGCUCUUCCUGCUGAGGCCAUAGAGUCCAGGGUCCCAGGGCAUCUGAUGGGAACCAGGAAACUGGAAAAACCAGUUCUUAAAGUUCCUAAAACCUGACAGUAAAUAUUGAACAGUAAACAGCUCAACUGUUUUUGUGUUUAUAUGCUAAGGAAGGUUCAUUUACUAGGGUUUAUUGGCAGUUAUGUAAAAUGAUACUUGUAUGAACAAAACUGCUAUUUUAAGUUUCAGAUAUUGCUUCAUCAGGGUGCUUGUCCUACAAGUUGGCGGAAAUCUAAACAGAGGGAAAACAUUAUGAAUACAUUGUUAUUUAUUAGUAAACAAAACAGCAAAAAUAAACUGAUUUUCUUUGGUCCAAAAGGCCUAGUUUGAUUUUAUAACUAAAAUUCUUUCUCUUCACUAGAAGUCUUCCGAUUGUAGUUGGGCACAGUCUUACAGAACGUAAGCGAGCGCCAGUGCAGCUUCUACUCAUGUCCAGCUACUCCUCAGCCUCCUUUAGCAGGGGCAGGAGGAGCCAAAACCUCCCAUGUUGGUAAAGAUGCUCCAUGAGGGCAGAACCCACCAACCCAGCAGCACUGCAGUUAACACCUGCACUCAUCUGAGAUUCCCAUGCUGUAUCUGACAGCUGUCUAAAAGCCCACACAGUAUUUACCUAAGGAAACAGCAUGGCUCUGAGUUACAACUGUCAGUUCAUAAAAUUAGACUAUCUUCUAAGAACGCGCUCACAUUCAAAGAAUCACAGAGCCGGAUGAGACAGGAGCACAGCCAGGCAAG